GGAGGCGGGGCCGUCACGUGGGGCAGCGUGGGCCGCUGCCUUGGAAACGCAGAGCGCGCGCUCCAGGUAAAGGCUGCUACGCCCAGGACAGGGUUCUCACGGUGGAGGAAAGGACUUCUGCGGGAUACCACGCUGUGCGCCAAAAAGCCGGGCGGCUUCGGAGCCAGAGCAGCGGCUCUGCGGCGCAGGCGGCGGGUCGGGGCAGCCUUGAAGCCGGGAUCCGGCCCGAAGGGGUCUUUUUGGAGUUCCUGAGCUCAGUGCCCCAGAAGGCACAUACUUCAUAUGAAAUAUGAAGGAUUUCAUACUGCACAAGAAAAAGCCUUGAGAAAGACAGAAUUGCUUGUGGACCGUGCGUGUUCCACCCCACCUGGGCCCCAGACCGUGCUGAUCCUUGAUGAGCUCUCGGAUUCCUUGUGCAGAGUGACCGACUUGUUUCGAAAUGACCAGGCUGGCAGUUGGCUGAGCCAGUCUCUUAGAACCCUUUGAAGCACUGGAUGCAGGCUGAUGAGCUGCCAUAAACGUCUUUGAGUCCCAACACUGCUCAGGAACUGCAUAUCAUACCAAAGUCUGCCUGUGUGAUCCUUUAAUUUGUGAAUGUAAAAACUGAGGUGGGAGGCAAAUACUGAUGUUCUCAAAGACCCGUCUCAGCUAUUCCAUUCAAACAGAGCCCAGAAUCUUCAAAAUUCUGCUUCUUCAGCUUACCUCCUGUCUCAGGCUGGUUCCCCAGAAGCAUCCCAGAGAUGCAGAUUUGUGAGAAAGUGAUGUGUUGGGCAGUGUCCCCUGCAGGGAAGUGAGGAUGCAAGACAGUGAGAAGGAAGCCAAGCAAGAGUGCAAUGUCAAGCAAGGUCCCGUGCUUGCAGGGCACUGGCUCCUCCCACAGAGGAGAUUUGGAGACUGAGAGCCCCUCCCUCCAUUGGUCAAGGGCCAUCUCAGAGGGAUGCAUGUUUCUAGGUAUCCCCCACUCUCUCUGCACACAGGUAAAGGAGACUCCAGAAGCAUGAGGGCAGCCCUCUCACAAAGAAGCAUGGGUUCUGGAUACCGAGAGUAAAAGCAAACGUGGAGCCAAGGGGUGUGAAAAUGGGAAAGGGACCCAAGGAAAUAGAGUAGUGCAUCCACCAUGAGUAAGUGCCACAGUCACUGGGUCAGCACCUGCUGUGUCCAACACCAUGCUAAGUAUCGUGGAGAGGAGAGAAGUUACUAGACUUCCCUGCUGUCAUCCUUAAUGGACUAUUGUCUCUUCCCUAGACACCUCAAACUGGGAUUUAAGGUACAUAAGCUCUCAGAAAUGGCUUCCUGGAAUUAUGGCCAUGAACAUCAGUGAACUGUUAGGGUCCGUAGUUACAUCUGGAAAAUGACUGCCGUUUCAAUACACAGGAUUAGUUACAAUAACAGCAACAGCCAUAAUAAUAAUGUGGCAGAGACUAGCUUGAUGCUCAUCACAUCUCUACCUGGGCACAUAGCAAAGUUUUCUAUUCCAGCUCCCACCCUGGAUCUCGGGUCCUAGUUCUCAACAACGAAAUGCUUCCAAGCCAAGUUAAAGCAGCCACAACUUUCAAACGAAAACCUAAAGAUCCUGUGUUGAAGACAGUGGCACCUUAAAAUGCAAGGGCAGUAUCCUUGAGUCCUCAGGUCACCAGAAAGCCACCCGAUCAGGACCAUCGACACUAGACUCUGUGUUAGUGAGAAACAAACUUGUGUUAAGCCAUCAUGAUUUUAAAGUUGUUAGCAGUCAGCUUGCUCCAAUAGGAUGAACACUAAUAAACAUAGCGGUAACAACCUGCUGGGUAGUAUCAUUAUUCUCACUUUGUUGGUGAGGAACUUGAGGCCCAAAAUGGUCAGAAAGUUAGCAGAUGGCAGAGCUGGUAUUUCAAGUCUAUUUUUUAAUCCCUAUCUUGCACUCCUUGGUCACGUAAACCUUGUGUGAAUAUGUUUGAUGCUUUAAUGGAGCAAAGAGGAGAAUAUUAAAAUACCAGGUUUCUUGGGUGGGAUGUGGAGUGAGGAGGAAGAACACAAAACGGAAAGGCUCCACGCAUCAGAAGCCAAGCUUUGGGCACUCCACAGUUUUGCUAAAGACUUCCCUGUCUGCUCACAUCUGGUCUGUUCCCCAGUAUCCUCACUGUAUUAAAGUUGUUUCUUUGUCAUAUUUUGCUCUUUUUUCUGGUGUGAUUCUAUCAAUUACUUGCUACCAAGGAGAAGAAAUGAGAUGAUCAAAGGGGCAUCCCCCAAAUCCCCAAGGCUGUGCCCCUCAAGUUCAAGAAGAGAAAGCAGAGAACUCUUGUUUAACAUGGACGUGUUAGUCGCUGUCCCCUCUGCCAUCCCCCAACUUCGUUGUUCAUAGAACUCUGAUUUUGUUCAUCUUAUUCCAAGUUACCAAGUCCUUUAGGGAAGGCUAGGCUGCCCUCUUACCCAGGACUGAGAGUUCAUGGUUGAAGCUAGAGAGGACGGAGUGAUUUCCCCUGCUAAACAAUUGGUUCAGGCAUGUGACGCAAUUGGGCCAAUGGAGCUAAAAAAGGAAAUCUGCUGAUGGGGCUUCUGGGAAGGUUUCUCUUGGAAAAAAAAAGAAAAAGCCACAAGAUAAAAAUGUUUGCUUUUCUGCCUCUGGACUUGGGCUCUGUGUGUUGUUCCUGGAACCAAAGCACCUUGGGUCCAUUAAGACAGCAGCCUAUGAGGAUAAACCAGAACACUGGGGAUGGCAGGGUAGAAACAUCGAAAUAACCUGGAUCUUUAAGACACUGGUGAGCUGGUGAAUUAAUCAACCCUGGAACUGCCAUCCCCCCGGACUUCUUCUUAUGUGAGAUAACAAACCAUCUAAUUGUUCCAAUUAUGAUGAAUUAGGGUUUCUAUUACUUGC
ensembl:lncRNA novel transcript